rnacentral:rRNA from 2 species
GAUGAACGCUGGCGGCGUGCCUAACACAUGCAAGUCGAACGGAGAAUUUACGCUGAUGAAGCUUCGGCAGAUUCUUGUAAAUUCUUAGUGGCGGACGGGUGAGUAACGCGUGGGCAACCUGCCUCAUACUGGGGGAUAACAGCUGGAAACGACUGUUAAUACCGCAUAAGCGCACGGUAUCGCAUGAUACAGUGUGAAAAACUCCGGUGGUAUGAGAUGGGCCCGCGUCAGAUUAGCCAGUUGGCAGGGUAACGGCCUACCAAAGCGACGAUCUGUAGCCGGCCUGAGAGGGCGGACGGCCACAUUGGGACUGAGACACGGCCCAAACUCCUACGGGAGGCAGCAGUGGGGGAUAUUGCACAAUGGAGGAAACUCUGAUGCAGCGACGCCGCGUGAGUGAAGAAGUAUUUCGGUAUGUAAAGCUCUAUCAGCCAGGGAAGAAAGACUCGUAAGAGAGAUGACGUAC